UACGAAGGGGGCUAGCGUUGUUCGGAUUUACUGGGCGUAAAGCGCGCGUAGGCGGCUUUGUAAGUUAGAGGUGAAAGCCCAGGGCUCAACCCUGGAAUUGCCUUUAAGACUGCAUCGCUUGAACAUCGGAGAGGUAAGUGGAAUUCCGAGUGUAGAGGUGAAAUUCGUAGAUAUUCGGAAGAACACCAGUGGCGAAGGCGACUUACUGGACGAUUGUUGACGCUGAGGUGCGAAAGCGUGGGGAGCAAACAGG
rnacentral:rRNA from 1 species